GAUGAACGCUAGCGGGAGGCUUAACACAUGCAAGUCGAGGGGCAUCACGAGGUAGCAAUACUUUGGUGGCGACCGGCGCACGGGUGAGUAACGCGUAUGCAACCUACCCUGUACAGGGGGAUAGCCCGGAGAAAUUCGGAUUAAUACCCCAUAAUGAUAUUUAUGGCAUCAUAAAAUAUUUAAAGCUCAGGCGGUACGGGAUGGGCAUGCGUAACAUUAGCUAGUUGGUAGGGUAAUGGCCUACCAAGGCGACGAUGUUUAGGGGUCCUGAGAGGGUGAUCCCCCACACUGGUACUGAGACACGGACCAGACUCAUACGGGAGGCAGCAGUGAGGAAUAUUGGUCAAUGGGCGCGAGCCUGAACCAGCCAUCCCGCGUGAAGGAAGACUGCCCUAUGGGUUGUAAACUUCUUUUCCAGGGGAAUAAAAUCUCGAACGAGUUCGGGACUGAAGGUACCCUGGGAAUAAGCAUCGGCUAACUCCGUGCCAGCAGCCGCGGUAACAC
rnacentral:rRNA from 1 species